UAGGGAAUCUUCCGCAAUGGACGAAAGUCUGACGGAGCAACGCCGCGUGAGUGAAGAAGGAUUUCGGUUCGUAAAACUCUGUUGUUAGGGAAGAAAAAAUGUAUAGUAACUAUAUACAAAAGAGACGCUACCUAACCAGAAAGCCACGGCUAACUACGUGCCAGCAGCCGCGGUAAUACGUAGGUGGCAAGCGUUGUCCGGAAUUAUUGGGCGUAAAGCGCGCGCAGGUGGUUUAGAAAGUCUGAUGUGAAAGCCCACGGCUCAACCGUGGAGGGUCAUUGGAAACUAAUAAACUUGAGUGCAGGAGAGAAAAGUGGAAUUCCUAGUGUAGCGGUGAAAUGCGUAGAGAUUAGGAGGAACACCGGUGGCGAAAGCGGCUUUUUGGCCUGCAACUGACACUGAGGCGCGAAAGCGUGGGGAGCAAACAGG
rnacentral:rRNA from 1 species